CCUUGCUCAAUUCUGUAAUGCUUGAUUUUACCAUAAGUGCUGAUAAGUUGUCCUUGUGAGUUUUUGCGGCCUUCCUCAACUCUGCAAUGUUAAUGUUAUCCUUGGCAUCGGUUCUGACAGAAACAAUUAUCAUGCCACACAUGGCAGCACUGGCAGGAUUUGUACCAUGUGCAGAGACAGGUAUAAUGCAAAUAUUGUGGUGGUGGUCUCCU